UAAUGAAGUCAUCCAUCGCCUACUGUUACUGUGCCUGCUCUUCGGACUGUGGGGAAUAUUGUUACUGGUGACGAUGCUCAGACACAGUUUGUGAUUGACAACCAAGUUCUUCCCUGUCUCCACCAACUUCUUACACAAAAUCAUAAGAAAAGCAUAAAAAAGGAAGCUUGUUGGACGAUCUCUAACAUCACAGCUGGAAAUAGAGCUCAAAUACAGGCUGUUAUUGAGGCUAAUAUCAUUCUUCCUUUGGUGCACCUUCUUCAACAUGCCGAAUUUGACAUCAAGAAAGAAGCUGCAUGGGCUAUCUCGAAUGCCACUUCUGGUGGAUCUCAUGAGCA